rnacentral:rRNA from 1 species
GAUGAACGCUGACAGAAUGCUUAACACAUGCAAGUCAACUUGAACUUCGGUUUGGGUGGCGGACGGGUGAGUAACGCGUAAAGAACUUGCCUCACAGCUAGGGACAACAUUUGGAAACGAAUGCUAAUACCUGAUAUUAUGAUUUUAGGGCAUCCUAGAAUUAUGAAAGCUAUGUGCGCUGUGAGAGAGCUUUGCGUCCCAUUAGCUAGUUGGAGAGGUAACGGCUCACCAAGGCGAUGAUGGGUAGCCGGCCUGAGAGGGUGAACGGCCACAAGGGGACUGAGACACGGCCCUUACUCCUACGGGAGGCAGCAGUGGGGAAUAUUGGACAAUGGACCAAGAGUCUGAUCCAGCAAUUCUGUGUGCACGAUGAAGUUUUUCGGAAUGUAAAGUGCUUUCAGUUGGGAAGAAAAAAAUGACGGUACCAACAGAAGAAGUGACGGCUAAAUACGUG